GGGGUGGUGGCGCAGUAGGCUAGCGCGUAGGUCUCAUAAUCCUGAGGUCGAGAGUUCGAGCCUCUCUCACCCCA
rnacentral:tRNA from 1 species